AACGAACGCUGGCGGCAUGCCUAACACAUGCAAGUCGAACGAGACCUUCGGGUCUAGUGGCGCAUGGGUGCGUAACGCGUGGGAACCUGCCCUUAGGUUCGGAAUAACUCCCCGAAAGGGGUGUUAAUACCGGAUAAUGUCUUCGGACCAAAGAUUUAUCGCCUUUGGAUGGGCCCGCGUUGGAUUAGCUAGUUGGUAGGGUAAAAGCCUACCAAGGCGACGAUCCAUAGCUGGUCUGAGAGGAUGAUCAGCCACACUGGGACUGAGACACGGCCCAGACUCCUACGGGAGGCAGCAGUGGGGAAUAUUGGACAAUGGGCGAAAGCCUGAUCCAGCAAUGCCGCGUGAGUGAUGAAGGCCUUAGGGUUGUAAAGCUCUUUUACCCGGGAUGAUAAUGACAGUACCGGGAGAAUAAGCUCCGGCUAACUCCGUG
rnacentral:rRNA from 1 species